UAACAGUCCAGCUCCAAUUCACCUGAAACGCUGGGCCAGCUAUAGGACAGAGUGUAAGCAACAGUCCCAUUUCUCCAUACCCUGACCUAUUCCAUUCAUCUGUUCAGGUUUCAGAUCCUGCGUACCUAUCCAAGAUAAUUAAGACAUCGUAAUAUCAUCAGUGUGACCGACCCCACAAAAGGAAGUUGUAGAAGGUGAUAAGGUUAUCAUUCACAUCUCCAGGUGAUUUGAGAAGAUGGCUGUCUGGAGCGGUAGAUAAAGACUCACUGGACUGUUAACAGAGGAAAAGGAAUUCCAAGGAGGCUUGGAAAUUCGUUAUUAGGAAGCAAGAAUCAUGGCUCUCAGGAUUUAUUGCAUGCUCAGUUGGAUGCAGUGAGUCAAAACUGAGGCAAGGACAAUCUUGUGGCAGUGUGGGCUUUGUGAAGAAUCCCAGGAAGCCAAGUGAGACAAGAGGGACUCAGGUAAGAAACAUCUUUAAAGAGCAUGCCUACAUAAUGCUACAUCCUCCAAGCCCCAGUUCAUAUUGUUCCCAAUACUCCAUCACUUCCUCUUGUAUUGGCUUAUCCAAAAGAUAUGAAUGAAACAAAAUUUGGCUCAUGAGAUAAUUCACUUGUCAUGGGGUAUAAGGCAUGGCAGUUGUUGUGACAUGAUUGGUGCUGUUAAAGCUGCUACCGAUGAAAAAUGAUGAAGAUGAUUCCUUUCACUGUGGCAUACCAGGAAGCACAGAAAAGCCUAAUCAAAGUGUAUAGAAUCUUGGGUCCUCCUAAGUGGGUUACCUCAAAGACCCAGGCCUUUCCACUAGAAAACUCCCACCUGAUAAUCAACUUCAGCCAAGUGGCUGGAUAUAAAAUUAAUGCAAAC